rnacentral:piRNA from 1 species
UACGCCUUUGCACAGUGGUGCCUCUGGGAGUC